rnacentral:lncRNA from 1 species
NNNNNNNNNNNNNNNNNNAGAUGGGGGGCACCGGGGGGCGCCUAGGGGAAGGGAGGGAUUGGGGGGGGGGCUUUGUCCCCCGGGCGCGGGGCGCUGGGUUGUGGGAAGGGGCCCCCCCCCAUGUCUACGGUUUGGUUCGGUGCGUGCCCCACGAUUUUGGGGUGUCCCCCUUCCCCAUUUGCUGCCUGUGUCCUUUGUAGGGACAGGGAUGGUCACGGGGCUGUCACCUCAUAGGGGUGCAGGGGGUGCCCGUGACCCCAAACCUGCCCCUGUUAGGGGCAGGGGGUGCCCACAUCCCUGGGGCCGUUUGGGGGUCCCCGUGUCCACUUGGGGUGAUCAUGGGGUGCCUGUGCCCCCAUCCCCGUCCCUGUUAGGACUGUUUGUCCCUGUUAGGGGCUGUUUGGGGGUGCCCAUGUCCCCGUGUCCGCUUGGGGAGGUCAGGGGGUGCCCGUGCCCCUAUCCCAACCCGUUUUGGGGGCACCCAUGUCCCCAGACCCACCGGGGAACAGGGAAUUGCCUGCACCUCCCUCUCUGCCCUGCUUAUGGGGUGCCCACGUCCCCAUCUCCGUCCCCAUUAGGGACGUGGCUGCCCGUGUCCCCGUGCCCACUUAGGGGGCAGCGGGUGCCCCCGUCCCCAUUAGGGCCGGGGUGCCUCCGUGCCCGCAGCCCCGGCCGUGCCGCGCUCCCCUCCCGCCCCCCCCCGGCCCUAAUUGUGCCAGCGGGGCGCCGACAAUGCCGCCUCAGUGGCACAUCAAAGGCACGGCGCUGGCGACGCGAGGCCACCGCUGGCACCGCGACAGCCCCACGUGAAAGCCCCCCCCGGCUCCCACCUCGGGCCCCCCUUCCCUGUCCCCCCGGCUGGGGGGGGGACACACCGCGGGGACACGCUCCCUUGGGUCCCCCGGGGACCGUCCCCGUACCCCGUCCCGUAUGGCCCUACCCGAACCGUCCCCUCUUUGCCCAGGUGGCACGGGGUCACUCUGUGGGGUCACCGUUUGGUGCCCACGGCACCGCCGCCGCUGGGAUUUGCCCCCGGUCCCACGGCACCGCCGUGCGCCCCCGCUCAGCCCCGUCCCCGGUGCCAACCCCAUUAACCUAAUUGGCACCGGCGGCGGUGGCGGUGG